AUUGAACGCUGGCGGCAGGCCUAACACAUGCAAGUCGAGCGAGCGGCGGACGGGUGAGGAAAGUCUGGGAAACUGCCUGAUGUAGGGGGAUAUCUACUGGAAACGGUAGCUAAUACCGCAUACCCACAGAUGUGCCCAGAUGGGCUUAGCUAGUAGGUGGGGUAACGGCUCACCUCGGCGACGCUCCCUAGCUGGUCUGAGAGGAUGACCAGCCACACUGGAACUGAGACACGGUCCAGAGUCCUACGGGAGGCAGCAGUGGGGAAUAUUGCACAAUGGGCGCAAGCCUGAUGCAGCCAUGCCGCGUGUGUGAAGAAGGCCUUCGGGUUGUAAAGCACUUUCAGCGGGGAGGCGUUACCCGCAGAAGAAGCACCGGCUAACUCCGUGCCAGCAGCCGCGGUAAUAC
rnacentral:rRNA from 1 species